rnacentral:rRNA from 1 species
AGUGAACGCUGGCGGUAGGCCUAACACAUGCAAGUCGAACGGCAGCACAGGAGAGCUUGCUCUCUGGGUGGCGAGUGGCGGACGGGUGAGGAAUACAUCGGAAUCUACUCUGUCGUGGGGGAUAACGUAGGGAAACUUACGCUAAUACCGCAUACGACCUACGGGUGAAAGCAGGGGACCUUCGGGCCUUGCGCGAUUGAAUGAGCCGAUGUCGGAUUAGCUAGUUGGCGGGGUAAAGGCCCACCAAGGCGACGAUCCGUAGCUGGUCCGAGAGGAUGAUCAGCCACACUGGACCAGAGACACGGUACAGACUCCUACGGGAGGCAGCAAUGGGGAAGAUUGGACACUGGACGCAAGCCUGUUCCAGCCAGACCGCGUGGGUGAAGAAGGGAUUCGGGUUGUAAAGCCCUUUUGUUGGGAAAGAAAUCCAGCUGACUAAUACCCGGUUGGGAUGACGGUACCCAAAGAAUAAGCACCGGAUAACUUCGUGCCAGCCGCCGCUGUAA